rnacentral:rRNA from 1 species
AUACGUAGGGGGCGAGCGUUGUCCGGAAUGAUUGGGCGUAAAGGGCGCGUAGGCGGUCUGUUAAGUCUGGAGUGAAAGUCCUGUUUUCAAGAUGGGAAUUGCUUUGGAUACUGAUGGGCUUGAGUGCAGGAGAGGUUAUCGGAAUUCCCGGUGUAGCGGUGAAAUGCGUAGAGAUCGGGAGGAACACCAGUGGCGAAGGCGGGUAACUGGACUGCAACUGACGCUGAGGCGCGAAAGUGUGGGGAGCAAACAGGAUUAGAUACCCUGGUAGUCCACACUGUAAACGAUGAAUGCUAGGUGUAAGAGGUAUCGACCCCUUUUGUGCCGGAGUCAACACAAUAAGCAUUCCGCCUGGGGAGUACGGCCGCAAGGUUGAAACUCAAAGGAAUUGACGGGG